GAUUAUGGCUCAGGAUGAACGCUAGCGAUAGGCCUAACACAUGCAAGUCGAGGGGCAGCACAUGAGUAGCAAUACGAUGGUGGCGACCGGCGCACGGGUGAGUAACACGUAUGCAACCUACCUUUAACAGGGGAAUAACCCGUUGAAAAACGGACUAAUACUCCAUAACACAGGGGUCCCGCAUGGGAAUAUUUGUUAAAGAUUAAUCGGUUGAAGAUGGGCAUGCGUUCCAUUAGCUUGUUGGUGAGGUAACGGCUCACCAAGGCCACGAUGGAUAGGGGAACUGAGAGGUUUAUCCCCCACACUGGAACUGAGACACGGUCCAGACUCCUACGGGAGGCAGCAGUGAGGAAUAUUGGUCAAUGGAGGCAACUCUGAACCAGCCAAGUCGCGUGAAAGGAUGAAGGUCUUAUGGAUUGUAAACUUCUUUUGCAAGGGAAUAAAGUGGGGGACGUGUCCUCCUUUGCAUGUACCUUGCGAAUAAGGAUCGGCUAACUCCGUGCCAGCAGCCGC
rnacentral:rRNA from 1 species